rnacentral:lncRNA from 1 species
GACUCUUGGAUAAUACAGGGAACUAAGUCAAUAGGUUGGAAAUUUAGCAACCUACAUGUCUAUCAAAUGCAUCACUAUUCACUCAAUCAAAUCAAGUCUUUACAUUACUAUUAUAUGAACACAUGAUGAGAGAAAAAUGAGCAAAUCAAUGGAAGGAUUUACCAUAAUUUUGUUUUGCUCCACUUUAUUCUCAACCUUGAUAACUUCCACUGCAGUAGACAUCAUCAGACAAAAUCAAACCAUUAGAGACGGCGACAGCCGCGACACAAUUGUAUCAGCAGGUGGAGAAUUUGAACUUGGAUUUUUCAGCCCCGGUAGCUCCACGAAUCGAUAUCUGGGAAUAUGGUACAAGAAAAUAUCAACUACGACAGUUGUAUGGGUAGCUAAUCGAGAGACUCCACUUACUAAUACGUCAGGCAUAGUAAUGGUCAAUAGCGAGGGAAUUAGAGUGCUUACUAAUGAUAGUGAAAGGACAAUUUGGUCAUCGAAUUUGUCGAGGUCUGUGAUGAAUCCUAUGGCACAACUAUUAGAUACAGGGAAUCUUGUUUUCCUGGAUGAGAACGACAGUGACCCAGUCAAUUUUCUUUGGCAGAGUUUUGAUUAUCCUGGAGAUACUUUGCUACCAGGAAUGAAGUAUGGAUUGGACUUGGUUACUGGCCUAAACAGGUACUUCACAUCAUGGAAAAGUGCUGAUGAUCCAUCUCCAGGUAGUUUUACGAACCGGGUUGAUCCCAGUGGCAUUCCACAGUUAUUUUGGUGGAAAGGGUCAACGCUACGGUCUAGGUCUGGACCAUGGGUUGGUUGUCAAGUAAGUGGAAAUCCUAAUAGUAUACCAAAUGGAAUCUAUAAAGAGGAGUUUGUUUUCAAUGAGAAGGAAAUAUAUUAUAAAUUUGAUCUUCUCAAUAAAAGUUCUUCUCCUACUACAAGGUUUAUAGUGAAUCCGAAUGGUGAUGCACAAACUCUGAUAUGGAAUGAUCGAAAUCAAUAUUGGAUGGUUUAUGUUACUAUACAUGUUAGUGAUUGUGACCGUUAUGGAUUGUGUGGUGCAUAUGGUAGUUGUAACAUUAACAAUUCCCCUAGAUGUGAAUGCUUGAGAGGAUUUGUUCCAAAGUUACCAGAAAAUUGGGAAGCAGCAGAUUGGUCUGACGGGUGUGUCCGCAAAACCCUACUGGACUGUGGAAAUGGAGAUGGUUUUACUAAGUAUUCGGUUGUGAAAUUGCCAGACACACGAUACUCAUGGUAUAACAUGAGCAUGAACCUUGAGGAAUGUGAGAGGGUGUGCUUGAAGAACUGCUCUUGUACAGCUUAUGCAAAUGCAGAUAUCAGAGGAGGUGGAAGUGGGUGUUACCUAUGGUUUAAUGAGCUGAUAGAUACCAGUGGCUACACAGCAGAUGGGCAAGAUCUUUAUGUAAGAAUGUCUGCCUCUGAAUUAGGUAAGACUACUUUGUCCACACAUUAAAGGUUUUACUCAACAUAUCUGCCUCAGUUUUUUUUUGCUUUUCUAGGAUUCUGUAUUUAUAUUUUGAAAUUAUUAGGCUACGCGGAGGAAAGCAAGAGAUUCAGACUAAAGAGGCGAAUGCAGAUCAUAGUCAUUCCUGUAGUACCAACAGUACUACUUGCCUUUUUCUUGUUUGUAUUCAAGAAGAGAAUUCUGAAGAGAGGAGGUAAAUAUGACUGAAUUUUACAUUAAAACAAAAACUGCAUUUAUUAACCAAAGACAACUAUUACGACCACAAAUAGAAGAAAAGUCCAAAUUGAAUUGUCAAGAAAACUAAUACGGACUCUUUGAAGAUUUGGUUCAGAAUUUUGGGAGUAUAUAAUAUUUCUAUUCCUUGUCUAGGCAUUUGAAACACUUGUUCACUUGUGCUUUGAUUUCACUUCUCCUUUCACAGGAUGGUUGAAAUUCAGUUCAGAAAAAAUAUUUCCGUACAAAAAUGAGGGGGAAGAUUUUCAGUUACCAUUAUUUGACUUCAAAAAAAUUGCAAGUGCUACAAAUAACUUCUCCCACAACAAUAAGCUUGGAGAGGGCGGCUUUGGACCUGUUUACAAGGUGAUUAUAUUGAUAAAUAUCAUUUGCAUAAUUAUGCAAAAAUAGUUCGCUAAACACUGUAUAUGCACUAUAAGGCACCAAAAGAGUGUUCGUUUGUAUUUUACUCACAAAACAUUUUUCAACUUAAAGCACAACACUACAUUAUAGUUAACGUUUACUUACCGACUCAAAACUAGUAGAAAUGUCUCUACCUCGAAAUAAUUAUUAUUAAUAAAAUGAAAAAUAUAUGUUUAAACGAUUAAAAUGAUACUUUCAUGUGUGAAGUGCAUGUAACAGAUAAAAUAUUGAUACACGUCAUGUUUGGCUCCAAUGGAGAUGUGUUGUUACUGUAAUAUGGAAGUUAUCAGGUGUAUGAAAUGUGCAUCUUCUAUAAUGUAGCCGACUUAGUCAAAUGAUUUGAGUCAAAUUUAAACAAAGGAUAGCAUUAUAAUGGUGAUGAAACAGAGAAAGGAACAAUGCUCACUUCUGGAAGCAUCACAUGGAAUUACCACAAUGAUUUAUUUUCAGGGCAUGUUGGAUGAUGGACAAAAGACUGUCAGAUAAUUCGAGUCAAGGAGUAGAUGAAUUCAAGAACGAAGUUUCAUUUAUUGCCAAACUACAGCACCGAAAUCUUGUGGUGCUUCUCGGGUGCUGCACUGAUAAAGGGGAAAGAAUAUUGAUCUAUGAAUACAUGCCCAAUAAAAGUUUAGAUUAUUUUAUUUUCGGUAUGGCCCUCCAAAUACUGAUAUGUUUUCUUAACUUUCUUAUAAUCUAAAAUAUUAAAUUAGUGUAAUCGUCUUAUUUCCCUUAGAAACUAUAACGUAAAUCACCCAAAUAUAGAGAAGUAUGGAUUUAUGGAUUAAUUUGAUGACAAAUGAAUAGAUGAAAAAUUAAGCAAGUCACUGGAUUGGUCAAGGCGCUACAACAUUAUAAAUGGCAUUGCUAAGGGACUUCUCUAUCUUCACCAUGACUCUAAAUUAAGAAUCAUUCAUAGAGAUCUCAAAGCUAGUAAUAUUUUACUUGAUCACGAGAUGAAUCCAAAAAUUUCAGACUUUGGCAUGGCAAGAAGUUUUGAAGGAAGUCAAACUGAAGCAAAUACAUCAAGAGUUGUGGGGACAUAGUAAGAAUUUCUACAACACUGCAAAUAUUUUUGUCUCUUUUGCUUAGAAACUGACAUCAUUUUGUUUUACCUCCCGCAGUGGUUACAUGCCUCCUGAGUAUGCUAUUGAUGGACUAUUCUCAGUUAAAUCUGAUGUUUAUAGUUUUGGUGUUUUACUGAUCGAGAUAGUGAGUGGGAAGAAAAAUAGAUUAUUCAAUCAUCCUGAUCACAGCUUUUAACCUUCUUGGACAUGUAAGUGCAUAUGAAUAUAUUCUAACGCUCUUAUCCUACACACUUAACUACUUUGGAUAAAUUAUAAAAUCAAUCUUUUUAGGCAUGGAAAAGUUAUAAAGAAGACGAGCUUUUAGGACUAAUCGAUGGGGUGCUCUCUUGGAGUCAAGUAACCAUAAUGAAGUGUUUCGAGUUAUCCAAAUUGGAUUAUUAUGCAUUCAACAAUAUCCAGAAGACAGACCGAGUAUGUCAUACGUGGUUCUUAUGUUGAGUAGUAAUAUUGCACUGCCUCAUCCUAAACAACCAGGUUUUUUCACCGAGAGAAAACUGCACGAAGCAUAUUAUUCAUUGAGCAAACCAAUAUUGUCUUCAUCCAACCAAUUAACUAUUACGGUUCUUUCACCUCGAUUGUAAUGCUUAGUGCCUUUGGUACCUCAAUUUUAUUAUAAAUAGUUGUACAUGAUGUAAUCAAUCAAGAGUUAUAUUUUUCUAUAAGAUGGAGGCAAUCAUACUGCCAAGCAAGAGCUUUGAAGCUGAAAUUUUUUAUCAUUUUGUUAGCAUCAAAAACAAAAAACAUAUACAUACUACAUGUGCAUACUUGCAAGCCGGGAAUACACUGAAACGUAGAUAAUGGUCUCAACCGCCAAACUGCAUAAAAAUUGAUUCUGAAGGAUCAAAAGACUUUCAUAAAUCACUGCUACAGUAGUAGUAUGAUAACAAUCUGCCUAUAUUCAUAGUCAUUGAUAAUUAUAUUUUUUGAGCUCAAGAGAAUUUUUGACCAUGAUUUGUUGCACAUUCGAGAAGUUGACCCCAAUUAAAAAAAAGGUUUGACAAAUUGAACAUUUAAGUACAUGGAUUUCUAGAACAAUAUCUUUACUUUUGACAAGAAAUAGCCAUGUGCAUUAGGCAGGCAAUCAUAAGGGUAUUUGGGUAGUUUUGGCAUUUUCAUUCUUCAUAUCUUUGUUCUCAUUUUUUAUAACCAUUGCCACCACCGCCGCCAGAGAAGGAAAUGAUGGCAAUAACGGCCAUUAGGCAGUCUUGUUUUGCAAUUCUAUGGUGCAUCUGUAGUUUUAACCCCUUCCAGUUAUGCAAACUUGUUUACAUUCAUGAUGAAUAGAGAAAUUAGAUUUACACAGCUUUGGUUAUUCAGUCAUCUACAGGCCAUUCAACAUUAAGUUAAUCAGUUGCAUAUUAGGAAUUUAAGAAUUGAGCCAGAACUCUAAUGGAGGGUAUCUUUCAAUCAUCCAUUAAGUUUCUCUCUCUCAAUCAUCUACAGGGCAUUCAACAUUAAGUUUCUCUCUCUCAAUCAUCCAUGAGUUUGUUAGAUAUUAGAGGUAGAGAGUUUCGUUGAAAGAUUAAUUUGGUCUGCCAAAGUUAAUGGGUGGAUUUUAGCAGAUUAACUAAUGAAUCGGACCUAUUACCGACCAAGUAUGCUUAUUGAAUUCUUCUUGUAAUAUAGUACUCAUAUAAUAAGCAAUCCAUUGAAGAAACAGAAUCAAACAUCAUACAUCAUUGAAUAAACAUUAAUUAGUGAAUUCCAAGUAAUGGUAUUUCUCUCAAGCAUUUCAUCAAACAUACAUUAUGCAAAAUCCAUUCCACUAAAAUUUGCAUAAGUUGAUGAAUUUAUUACCUGGGAAGGCGUCAAUUUGAAUACCCAAUUUGGCUAAGAACCUAUGGACUGACACAUCUUAGAUCUUCAGAAAUAUUUUCCGUGUAUGAGGUAUAAUUUCCAAGCACGGCAUUUUCAAAUAUGGACUCUGUCCAAGUCCAGCAUUUGGAAAUUGAACAACCUUGUAAACCUGAAAAACAAGCGACUGCCACCGUGCACUCUGUUAGGAAUCCUGUUAUGAGAGGAAUCAUAUUUUUUUGUAAGAUAUUAUUUUGGAAGUAGUCUUACUAUUUGUAGCAGGUAUAUUUAUUGCGUGAGAUUGUCCUAAUUAGAUUAGGAAAAGAGAAAUUGUGGGUACUCUGAUUAGACAGAGGUAGGACACAACCAAUAUGUUGUAACAUCCUAGAGUGAAGAGAGAGUGUAAUUGAGUCUUGGCUUGUUAUGUGAUCGAUGAUUUUUCAGCUUUUUUUGUGUGUAAAAAGUUGUACCAUGGAGAUUAAUAUAUUGAAAUUAAUUUUGUG